rnacentral:rRNA from 1 species
GCAAGUCGAGCGAGAAGGUAAUAAUUGAUUCUUCGGAAGAUUUUAUAACUGGACAGCGGCGGACGGGUGAGUAACGCGUGGGUAACCUGCCUUAUACUGGGGGAUAACGUUUUGAAAAGAACGCUAAUACCGCAUAAGCGCACAGCAUCGCAUGGUGCAGUGUGAAAAACUCCGGUGGUAUAAGAUGGACCCGCGUCAGAUUAGCUAGUUGGUGAGAUAAAAGCUCACCAAGGCGACGAUCUGUAGCCGACCUGAGAGGGUGAUC